GAUGAACGCUGGCGGCGUGCCUAAUACAUGCAAGUCGAGCGAACAGACGAGGAGCUUGCUCCUCUGACGUUAGCGGCAGACGGGUGAGUAACACGUGGAUAACCUACCUAUAAGACUGGGAUAACUUCGGGAAACCGGAGCUAAUACCGGAUAAUAUAUUGAACCGCAUGGUUCAAUAGUGAAAGACGGUUUUGCUGUCACUUAUAGAUGGAUCCGCGCCGCAUUAGCUAGUUGGUAAGGUAACGGCUUACCAAGGCAACGAUGCGUAGCCGACCUAAGAGGGUGAUCGGCCACACUGGAACUGAGACACGGUCCAGACUCCUACGGGAGGCAGCAGUAGGGAAUCUUCCGCAAUGGGCGAAAGCCUGACGGAGCAACGCCGCGUGAGUGAUGAAGGUCUUCGGAUCGUAAAACUCUGUUAUUAGGGAAGAACAAAUGUGUAAGUAACUAUGCACGUCUUGACGGUACCUAAUCAGAAAGCCACGGCUAACUACGUG
rnacentral:rRNA from 1 species